rnacentral:lncRNA from 1 species
CUUGAGCUUGAGCUCCUGUUGCUCUUAUAGAAUGUUCACUCAAAAGUAUUGUGGAGCUCCUGCACCUAAAUAUAAACAGUACCAACACCCAAAAUGAGGACCGGAACCUAUUUCAGUCCAAGUUAAGCACUGAUAACAAGUAAUCAGAGCAUCUACAGAUGGACAAUACGGACUAUCCAAAUAAAGUGUGAGCCAAAAUAUUUCCCUUUGUCACACCACAUCCUGAGUCAAAGUCCUCAUCGUCCUUCCAAAUUACUGUCAAGGUAAUAGUAUCUGAGUUAAGUGUGGUGAAGGAGCUGACUGGGG